AUGAACGCUGGCGGCGUGCCUAACACAUGCAAGUCGCACGAAGCACCUUACCUGAUUCUUCGGAUGAAAGUUUGGUGACUGAGUGGCGGACGGGUGAGUAACGCGUGGGUAACCUGCCCUGUACAGGGGGAUAACAGCUGGAAACGGCUGCUAAUACCGCAUAAGCGCACGAGGAGACAUCUCCUUGUGUGAAAAACUCCGGUGGUACAGGAUGGGCCCGCGUCUGAUUAGCUGGUUGGCAGGGUAACGGCCUACCAAGGCAACGAUCAGUAGCCGGUCUGAGAGGAUGAACGGCCACAUUGGAACUGAGACACGGUCCAAACUCCUACGGGAGGCAGCAGUGGGGAAUAUUGCACAAUGGGGGAAACCCUGAUGCAGCAACGCCGCGUGAGUGAAGAAGUAUUUCGGUAUGUAAAGCUCUAUCAGCAAGGAAGAUAAUGACGGUACCUGACUAAGAAGCUCCGGCUAAAUACGUG
rnacentral:rRNA from 1 species